UGUGACUCUGGCCUUUUAUGUUCAAACUUCCAUAAAAAUACUUCACUUCUAAAUUACAACUCAAAGAAUCCUAAAAAAGACUUAAAUUACCGAAAUUUGACUCUAAAAAUAUGGCUAUACCUCUGAAACGCUAGAAGGAUCCAUAUAUGUUGGCACUCCCAACGUUUGCGAAAGAUCCUUAAGUCAAGGCUGCACUGACUUUCUGGUUGCUGAAGAUGGUGGUUGUUUCAUAUUGUUGAGACUCUUUCCAGACCUCCAAUGCAUACAAUAGACAUUGUCCUGACUGAGGGAAGAUAAUUUUUCAAUGGUAAUGGUCAUAUUGUCCCACUGGACAUGUCAAAUUUGUCAAUGGAAGCGUGAAUUUUAAUCGAGAUUUGGAUGAGUUUCCUCAAGUGCUAUUCCCUUUGAUUCAAGCUAUUUUCGUCGAAGAAGAAAUUAUGCUCCUUAGUUGUAGGUUCCAUAAAUUCUCUAGUAUAGCGUUAGGCAUGACUGUUUUAGGUUGUGUAGUUAUUCCCUUAUUCACGACGUGGUCAUGAUCUUUGUGCACAGCUCCACUAUGAUCAUGGCCUUCUCUUAUAACCACGGUCAUAGUGCGGUUGAUGGUGCUAAAACCAAGGAACGUGGGUUUCUCGUGUCAUUGAGUCUUAUUAUGUUUCGACUUAGCCUAAGUCUCUUAUGACCCAUGAACUGAGUUAAUGACUUUGAGAAAGAAUCAACUUUCCUUACUCGACUGUUCUAACAUCGCCUUACCUUCGAUUAGCUGAAAAGCUGUCUCCUAAAAGUUUAAUCGCCUAUCUAUCGAAUCUGGCUAACAUGAUAAUUGAUUUUAUAUGUAAACAAAAAUAAGUUUGAGAAUAUAAAAAAAAUAUUGAAGCCUAUUGAGGAAUAUCUGUUUAAUUUGCAACCUCUUGGGGCGGCUAAUAAGACAAACAUUAUUAUAUUAAUGUACCUAAAAAGACAUUUAAUAAUAUUUUUUAAUCGGCGGAAGUGGCUUUUAUUUUGGUAGAAAUUUGGCGGAAGUGUUUAUUGAGACUCUCUGAGUGUUUAAAACUAAUUAAUUAAUUAGAGUGAUCAAAACAUAUUGAAAUAUCAUCAUCAUGUCUAAAAUUUUCAAGUUUGUGUAUAUGAUCUUUUUUCUAUCAGCUAUUGUCGCUGAAAUCUACGCAUUUGGUGAAUUCUGCCAUUCUGAUUCUGAUUGUCCAAAGUUGUGUCAUCCUCCUAAGAAUGUUACUAACUGCUUCUGGAAUCACUGUUACUGCGUGAGGUAGUUAAUUAAGUAUAGUGUUAAUUCUAAGAAUAUAGUUUAAUUAUUAUCAGCUAAGAUAUAUCGAACAUUUCAUUUUAUUAUAUUCCGUUGUACUUAUAUUUCAUUGAUAAUCACAAUAGCAUAUAUUCAAUAUAUCUUGCAAGUGUUUUUACAAUUGUUUGCUUUCAAGAACUUAGCAAUCAACAUAAUUUAUUUGUUUAUAAAAGCAAUAAAGAGAGUUUAUGGUUUUGC